GCAUCAAUGGUUUAGUGGUAGAAUCCAUCAUUAUUAUCGAUGGGCCCGUGUUCGAUUCACGGUUGAUGCG